rnacentral:rRNA from 1 species
UGGGGAAUAUUGCACAAUGGGGGAAACCCUGAUGCAGCAACGCCGCGUGAAGGAUGAAUGUCUUCGGAUUGUAAACUUCUAUCAGCAGGGACGAAUAAAUGACGGUACCUGACUAAGAAGCCCCGGCUAACUACGUGCCAGCAGCCGCGGUAAUACGUAGGGGGCAAGCGUUAUCCGGAUUUACUGGGUGUAAAGGGUGAGUAGGCGGUUAAUAAAGUCAUGUGUGAAAUCUACUAGCUUAACUAGUAAACUGCACAAGAAACUUAUUAACUAGAGUACAGGAGAGGUAAGCGGAAUUCCUAGUGUAGCGGUGAAAUGCGUAGAUAUUAGGAAGAACACCAGUGGCGAAGGCGGCUUACUGGACUGAAACUGACGCUGAGUCACGAAAGCGUGGGGAGCGAACA